AUGAACAACAACAUAACUCGCUACCCACAUCAUUUUUCGGGGAGAAGCAUAUACGACAUGAAGUUGGGAAGCACAAAGUCAGGGGGGUCCUUCGAUAACUACAUGAAGUGCAUCGUUGCAAGUUUUGUCAUCAUCAAAAAGGGGGAGUAUGUGAGUACAACUUCACCAUUAAAUGUUUUGCAUGAUGUCAAAAAUAGGAAAACUUAG